rnacentral:rRNA from 1 species
AGAGUUUGAUCCUGGCUCACAGUGAACGCUGGCGGUAGGCCUAACACAUGCAAGUCGAACGGCAGCACAGUAAGAGCUUGCUCUUAUGGGUGGCGAGUGGCGGACGGGUGAGGAAUACAUCGGAAUCUACUUUUUCGUGGGGGAUAACGUAGGGAAACUUACGCUAAUACCGCAUACGACCUACGGGUGAAAGCAGGGGAUCUUCGGACCUUGCGCGAUUGAAUGAGCCGAUGUCGGAUUAGCUAGUUGGCGGGGUAAAGGCCCACCAAGGCGACGAUCCGUAGCUGGUCUGAGAGGAUGAUCAGCCACACUGGAACUGAGACACGGUCCAGACUCCUACGGGAGGCAGCAGUGGGGAAUAUUGGACAAUGGGCGCAAGCCUGAUCCAGCCAUACCGCGUGGGUGAAGAAGGCCUUCGGGUUGUAAAGCCCUUUUGUUGGGAAAGAAAUCCAGCCGGCUAAUACCUGGUUGGGAUGACGGUACCCAAAGAAUAAGCACCGGCUAACCUCGUG